rnacentral:rRNA from 1 species
AAAGCGUGCGCAGGCGGUUAUAUAAGACAGAUGUGAAAUCCCCGGGCUCAACCUGGGAACUGCAUUUGUGACUGUAUAGCUGGAGUGCGGCAGAGGGGGAUGGAAUUCCGCGUGUAGCAGUGAAAUGUGUAGAUAUGCGGAGGAACACCGAUGGCGAAGGCAAUCCCCUGGGCCUGCACUGACGCUCAUGCACGAAAGCGUGGGGAGCAAACAGGAUUAGAUACCCCUGU